rnacentral:rRNA from 1 species
CGAUUGAGUUUGAUCCUGGCUCAGGAUGAACGCUGGCGGCAUGCCUAAUACAUGCAAGUCGAACGAGAGACCUUCGGGUCUCUAGUGGCGAACGGGUGAGUAACACGUAGGGAACCUGCCCGCGCACCGGGAAUACGCUCUGGAAACGGAGAACAAAUCCCGAUGUACAGGAAGGAGGCAUCUUCUUUCUGUGAAACAUCCUUUAGGGGAUGGGGCGCGGAUGGACCUGCGGUGCAUUAGUUGGUUGGCGGGGUAAAGGCCCACCAAGACGAUGAUGCAUAGCCGGCCUGAGAGGGCGGACGGCCACAUUGGGACUGAGACACGGCCCAGACUCCUGCGGGAGGCAGCAGUAGGGAAUUUUCGUCAAUGGGCGCAAGCCUAAACGAGCGAUGCCGCGUGAGUGAAGAAGGCCUUCGGGUCGUAAAGCUCUGUUGCGGGGGAAAAAAGGCAGCAUCAGGAAAUGGGUGCUGACUGAUGGUGCCCCGCCAGAAAGUCACGGCUAACUACGUGCCAGCAGCCGCGGUAAUACGUAGGGGGCGAGCGUUAUCCGGAUUUACUGGGUGUAAAGGGAGCGUAGACGGCGGCGCAAGUCUGAAGUGA